UACGUAGGGUGCAAGCGUUAAUCGGAAUUACUGGGCGUAAAGCGUGCGCAGGCGGUUUUGUAAGUCUGAUGUGAAAUCCCCGGGCUCAACCUGGGAAUUGCAUUGGAGACUGCAAGGCUAGAAUCUGGCAGAGGGGGGUAGAAUUCCACGUGUAGCAGUGAAAUGCGUAGAGAUGUGGAGGAACACCGAUGGCGAAGGCAGCCCCCUGGGCCAAUACUGACGCUCAUGCACGAAAGCGUGGGGAGCAAACAGG
rnacentral:rRNA from 2 species